UCGGGAUCUUUUCUUAUUUCUCUACUUCCUUCUCAUCAUAGUUCCAGCAAUUACUUCUUUCAAGAUUCAUCAUGAUAAGUCACCAAUCUUAGGAAAAUCCAUACUGUAUCUGAACAGGCAUCAAACUGAAGAGUGGAAAGGUUGGAUGCAGGAAUGUCAAAUAAUGCAGCUGGCCUGGAGGUUGCAGAUGCACCAAGCUCAUCUAAGAUGCAUGAAUCAGAUUCGUCUGGUUUGUUGCUGCUGCCGCCCUUGUGGUUGAUGUUUGCUGGGCUGCUGCUGCUGCUGUAAUGUUGCUGUGAGGCGGCUACUGCUAGAUGUUGGUCUGCUGGAUAAGUUUGUGGAUACUUUUCGUGUCGUUUUGCCUGUCUUUGUUAGUUUCAUGUUUUCAUUUUGUUAUCUGUUGUUUGUAAUGUGGAUUCACAAUUUGGAUGUAUUUGGGUAUUUUAGUGAGUUUACCCUUUUAGGUUUUAUACACUACUUCUAAAAGCAGUAUCAGCAGUGUUUUUUUUGCUUGCACAUCAACUUUAGGUGAUUUCAUAUCAAUGUUAUUAGUUUGUAAUAGUGGUGCCUGAGGGAUGCCUCUUGUAAAUCUGUAAAUCUUAUAAAAAUAUAUAAAUUAUUUUCAA